AAUAUUGGACAAUGGGGGCAACCCUGAUCCAGCCAUGCCGCGUGUGUGAAGAAGGUCUUCGGACUUGACGGUACCUAAGGAGGAAGCCCCGGCUAACUACGUGCCAGCAGCCGCGGUAAUACGUAGGGGGCGAGCGUUGUCCGGAAUUACUGGGCGUAAAGGGUACGUAGGCGGCUAUAUAAGUCAGGUGUGAAAUACCAGUGCUUAACACUGGAAUUGUAUUUGAAACUGUGUAGCUUGAGUGCAGGAGAGGAAAGUGGAAUUCCUAGUGUAGCGGUGAAAUGCGUAGAGAUUAGGAGGAACACCAGUGGCGAAGGCGACUUUCUGGACUGUAACUGACGCUGAGGUACGAAAGCGUGGGUAGCGAACA
rnacentral:rRNA from 1 species